GACGAACGCUGGCGGCGUGCCUAACACAUGCAAGUCGAACGGAGAUACUUUUGAAGCUUGCGAUAAAGUAUCUUAGUGGCGGACGGGUGAGUAACGCGUGGGUAAUCUGCCCAUAAGUGGGGAACAACAGUUGGAAACGACUGCUAAUACCGCAUAAUCUGCCUUAGGGUAGGAAAGGUGGCCUCUUAACAAUGCUGCCGCUUAUGGAUGAGCCCGCGUCUGAUUAGCUAGUUGGUGGGGUAAAGGCCUACCAAGGCGACGAUCAGUAGCCGGCCUGAGAGGGUGAACGGCCACACUGGGACUGAGACACGGCCCAGACUCCUACGGGAGGCAGCAGUGGGGAAUAUUGCGCAAUGGGGGAAACCCUGACGCAGCGACGCCGCGUGAGCGAAGAAGGCCUUAGGGUUGUAAAGCUCUGUUUUAGGGGACGAAUGUCGUGGGGAGUAAUAUGACCUACGAAUGACGGUACCCUAAGAGGAAGCCCCGGCUAACUACGUG
rnacentral:rRNA from 1 species